rnacentral:rRNA from 1 species
CCUACGGGUGGCAGCAGUGAGGAAUAUUGGUCAAUGGGCGCAAGCCUGAACCAGCCAUGCCGCGUGCAGGAAGAAUGCCCUAUGGGUUGUAAACUGCUUUUAUUUGGGAAUAAACCUCUUUACGUGUAGAGAGCUGAAGGUACCAAAUGAAUAAGCACCGGCUAACUCCGUGCCAGCAGCCGCGGUAAUACGGAGGGUGCAAGCGUUAUCCGGAAUCAUUGGGUUUAAAGGGUCCGCAGGCGGAUUUAUAAGUCAGUGGUGAAAUCCUAUCGCUUAACGAUAGAACUGCCAUUGAUACUGUAAGUCUUGAAUUCGGUCGGAGUGGGCGGAAUGUGUAGUGUAGCGGUGAAAUGCAUAGAUAUUACACAGAACACCGAUAGCGAAGGCAGCUCACUAGGCCUGAAUUGACGCUCAGGGACGAAAGCGUGGGGAUCAAACAGGAUUAGAUACCCUUGUAGUC